UACAGAGGUGGCAAGCGUUGUUCGGAAUUACUGGGCGUAAAGGGCGCGUAGGCGGUCCUACAAGUCCCGCGUGAAAGCCCCCGGCUCAACUGGGGAACUGCGCGGGGAACUGUAGGGCUUGAGUUCGGGAGAGGGAAGCGGAAUUCCGGGUGUAGCGGUGAAAUGCGUAGAUAUCCGGAGGAACACCGGUGGCGAAGGCGGCUUCCUGGACCGACACUGACGCUGAGGCGCGAAAGCUAGGGGAGCAAACGGG
rnacentral:rRNA from 1 species